rnacentral:rRNA from 2 species
UUGAUGAAGUUGAGUGCUUGCACUUGACUGAUUCAACUUGGUGACGAGUGGCGAACUGGUGAGUAACACGUGGGUAACCUGCCCCGAAGCGGGGGAUAACAUUUGGAAACAGGUGCUAAUACCGCAUAACAACCAAAACCACCUGGUUUUGGUUUGAAAGACGGCUUCGGCUGUCACUUUGGGAUGGACCCGCGGCGUAUUAGCUAGUUGGUGAGGUAACGGCUCACCAAGGCGAUGAUACGUAGCCGACCUGAGAGGGUAAUCGGCCACAUUGGGACUGAGACACGGCCCAAACUCCUACGGGAGGCAGCAGUAGGGAAUCUUCCACAAUGGACGCAAGUCUGAUGGAGCAACGCCGCGUGAGUGAUGAAGGGUUUCGGCUCGUAAAACUCUGUUGUUGGAGAAGAACGGGUGUCAGAGUAACUGUUGACAUCGUGACGGUAUCCAACCAGAAAGCCACGGCUAACUACGUGCCAGCAGCCGCGGUAAUACGUAGGUGGCAAGCGUUGUCCGGAUUUAUUGGGCGUAAAGCGAGCGCAGGCGGUUUUUUAGGUCUGAUGUGAAAGCCUUCGGCUUAACCGGAGAAGUGCAUCGGAAACCGGGAGACUUGAGUGCAGAAGAGGACAGUGGAACUCCAUGUGUAGCGGUGAAAUGCGUAGAUAUAUGGAAGAACACCAGUGGCGAAGGCGGCUGUCUGGUCUGCAACUGACGCUGAGGCUCGAAAGCAUGGGUAGCGAACAGGAUUAGAUACCCUGGUAGUCCAUGCCGUAAACGAUGAGUGCUAAGUGUUGGAGGGUUUCCGCCCUUCAGUGCUGCAGCUAACGCAUUAAGCACUCCGCCUGGGGAGUACGACCGCAAGGUUGAAACUCAAAGGAAUUGACGGGGGCCCGCACAAGCGGUGGAGCAUGUGGUUUAAUUCGAUGCUACGCGAAGAACCUUACCAGGUCUUGACAUCUUCUGCUAACCUAAGAGAUUAGGCGUUCCCUUCGGGGACGGAAUGACAGGUGGUGCAUGGUUGUCGUCAGCUCGUGUCGUGAGAUGUUGGGUUAAGUCCCGCAACGAGCGCAACCCUUAUUGUCAGUUGCCAGCAUUCAGUUGGGCACUCUGGCGAGACUGCCGGUGACAAACCGGAGGAAGGUGGGGAUGACGUCAAAUCAUCAUGCCCCUUAUGACCUGGGCUACACACGUGCUACAAUGGACGGUACAACGAGUCGCGAAACCGCGAGGUCAAGCUAAUCU